CCUACGGGCGGCUGCAGUCGAGAAUCAUUCACAAUGGGGGAAACCCUGAUGGUGCGACGCCGCGUGGGGGAAUGAAGGUCUUCGGAUUGUAAACCCCUGUCAUGUGGGAGCAAAUUAAAAAGAUAGUACCACAAGAGGAAGAGACGGCUAACUCUGUGCCAGCAGCCGCGGUAAUACAGAGGUCUCAAGCGUUGUUCGGAAUCACUGGGCGUAAGGCGUGCGUAGGCUGUUUCGUAAGUCGUGUGUGAAAGGCGCGGGCUCAACCCGCGGACGGCACAUGAUACUGCGAGACUAGAGUAAUGGAGGGGGAACCGGAAUUCUCGGUGUAGCAGUGAAAUGCGUAGAUAUCGAGAGGAACAAUCGUGGCGAAGGCGGGUUCCUGGACAUUAACUGACGCUGAGGCACGAAGGCCAGGGGAGCGAAAGGGAUUAGAUACCCGGGUAGUC
rnacentral:rRNA from 1 species